UACGUAGGUGGCAAGCGUUAUCCGGAUUUAUUGGGCGUAAAGGGAACGCAGGCGGUCUUUUAAGUCUGAUGUGAAAGCCUUCGGCUUAACCGAAGAAGUGCAUCGGAAACCGGGCGACUUGAGUGCAGAAGAGGACAGUGGAACUCCAUGUGUAGCGGUGGAAUGCGUAGAUAUAUGGAAGAACACCAGUGGCGAAGGCGGCUGUCUGGUCUGCAACUGACGCUGAGGCUCGAAAGCAUGGGUAGCGAACAGG
rnacentral:rRNA from 1 species